GAAGCUGACCAGGGGCAGCUGAAAACUGACUUAGAGGAAUGAAGAUUCCAAGAUACAUACGUUGAUAAGCUACACUGCAGCAGCCUACGAACCGAGGUAUGACACCGAGAGGGAGAAUUCACACAGCAGCAGAAGAGCAAGGACUCAAAGCUACUUUCUUGGACUUCGUGAGGAGAGAGACUGCAACAAGCAGCUGGAGCUUGGUGAGGGGGGAGCAGCCUCCUUCCUCCUGA